UACGUAGGGUGCAAGCGUUAAUCGGAAUACUGGGCGUAAAGCGUGCGCAGGCGGUUUUGUAAGUCAGAUGUGAAAUCCCCCGGGCUUAACCUGGGAACUGCGUUUGAAACUACAAGGCUAGAGUGUGGCAGAGGGGGGUGGAAUUCCACGUGUAGCAGUGAAAUGCGUAGAGAUGUGGAGGAACACCGAUGGCGAAGGCAGCCCCUCGGUUACG
rnacentral:rRNA from 1 species